CCUACGGGAGGCAGCAGUAGGGAAUAUUGCUCAAUGGGGGAAACCCUGAAGCAGCAACGCCGCGUGAGUGAUGAAGGUUUUCGGAUUGUAAACUCCUUUUAUUAGAGAAGAUAAUGGCGGUUUCUAACGAAUAAACACCGGCUAACUCCGUUCCAGCAGCCGCGGUAAUACGGAGGGUGCAAGCGUUACUCGGAAUCACGGGGCGUAAAGAGCGCGUAGGCGGGAUAGCAAGUCAGAUGUGAAAUCCUAUGGCUUAACCAUAGAACUGCAUUUGAAACUGUUAUUCUAGAGUAUUGGAGAGGUAGGUGGAAUUCUUGGUGUAGCGGUAAAAUCCGUAGAGAUCAAGAGGAACACUAAUUGCGAAGGCGACCUGCUAGAACAUAACUGACGCUGAUGCGCGAAAGCGUGGGGAGCAAACAGGAUUAGAUACCCGAGUAGUC
rnacentral:rRNA from 1 species